rnacentral:lncRNA from 1 species
CAGCACUAUGAAUGACAGUGAGAUAAACUUAGGGUGAUCAGACAGCAAAUGUGAAAAAUCGGGACGGGGGUGAGGGUGGGUAAUAGGAGCCUAUAUAAGAAAAAGGCCCCAAAAUCGGGACUGUCCCUAUAAAAUCGGGACAUCUGGUCACCGUAGAUAAACUUCCCAUUACUCUGUGAAGCUGCAACUGCCCUGUCCUUGGCGUCUCUGUUUCUGGCCCCAGCAGGGAGUGUGUCACAGGAAACCCAAAGAUGGCAUAGGAAGUAUGGCAUCUCUACAGUACAACCACCACCGUGAUGGUGCAUCAGAUGAGUCUUGGGGAAAGCAGGUUAGAUAAAAUGACCAAUCUUGGCUAUACAAACUGGGAAAUAUAGGCACAGACAUGAGCAAACGUAAGGGUUCGCUUUGUCAAAAGAGACAUCAACAUCUGGCACAUUUAUCAAGGGUUGUGACAUUGCUUUGGUUUUUUCCAUAGCCCAGAGAAGAGGACCUCCUUCAAAAGCUGUAUUGGAAGCCAUCAGAUGUGGACAAGUAUGAAUUGGCAACAAUGAGUCUCAUAACAUACUAUGUGGAAAUUCCCAUAUAUAAAAAAAGUCAUCUGAUUUAUGAAAACACAUAUUACAGUUAAGACCGUAUGCUGCCAACAGACCAGACCAGAGGCCAAGCACUGAUGGCCACAAGGAACGUUUACACUUAAUAUAGCUUCUGGGACUUCUAAUCCAUACUGUCUGGAUGUUCACGUGAGGACAUGCGAUUUAGAUCCAGGACAAAUAAAGGAGCUGAGAAGCAGCAAACCGCCACAGUCUAGUUUUAAAAAAAUAAUGAAAAAAGGUGGGGGUUUUUGGUUGAAUUUUUAAAAAGCAAAAACAAAUCAUUAAAGGUCCUGAUA